rnacentral:tRNA from 4 species
AGAUAAUGAACUUGAAUAAGUAUAUGUUUUGAAAACAUAAUAUAGAAAUUAAAAUUCUAUUAUCUU